rnacentral:lncRNA from 1 species
GUUUUCUAAAUUUGGCUUUUGCCCUUUGCUAACUUAUGUAUUCAACAACUAGAUUUAAAAAAAAUGUUUUUACAGUGGUGUACUUAAGGAUGCUAUAGGUACAAAGUUUGAGCACUUAAAUACAGUGGUUAUGCAUAUACAGAAAUACAAGAAAGGCAAGUAAUGGCUAAUAUUAAAAUGAUUAUAAUGCAUACCUAUUCCUUUGCAAGUCUUGCAAAUUGUGGAAUAUUCAGGAAGGGUAAGAACGGGGAGAGUAUACAAAGACAACAGGAAGAAAGCGAUGAGCAAAAAAUUCCAUAUGCGCGGAAGAAAAUUUGAAGAGGAGCUUAUUUAUGAGGUUCUGAAUUUCACUUAUACAAACACAUCUAAAAAUGUCUCCAUCUCAAGUGAAUUAAAUGACAAAGAAAAUGGUCUGUCUAUUACAUUUGAUUCAUCCAUAAUGAAUGCCAACAUGGUCAAUUCUAGACACCAGGCCAAUAAAGUAAUAAGUAUGGACAGAUUAAGGCAGACACUGCUAUUUCCCCAACCCAGCACAAUAAAAGUUAUACUAUCCCCCUUAGGGUGCCUGUCAGACUGAGAGAGCUGACUCUGAAGAGUUCCCUGCCCAUUUCUAUAACAAUGAUUCAUCAUUCUUGCCACAACAGAUUGGAUCGGUGUUGGACAUCUGACUACAGGUCUUACGUGUGCUAAGGAAAAGCUGCUUCUCAGUUCUCACUUCAGCUGGCAAAGCAAAACUUCAGUAGAUACAGUUACUGCAGCAAAGAAGGAGCCACCUGCUUUCAUUUGAAGUUUGCUUUCAUAGGUGUGAGGGCAGCCUGCUACCUCAUGUCAGCAUCCAUUAUAAGGCACCAUGCAAAGUGACAUGACACAGAAUGACAGCUGCAGCCACCUCAACAUGGCAUCCGUGAAGCUGAUAUCGACGAGGCUGCCGUUACAUGUGCUCCACAUCCUAGCUGAGAAAAAAUGGAGAAAUGCUCAGAAACUAUGAAUGAAUGCAGAAAAACACCCUAACAGAAACACACAACUGAGUUGGCUUUACCAUUAAGGAUUUCAUUAAGAUCAAAGGAACCUGUUUCAUCCAUCUUAAACCUUCACCUGGCGAGGACGACAUCAUAAUCCUGAAGCUCUGCUGGAAUUCUAGCUUCCGAGGUUUGGCUGAGGAAUGCCGUUGGAGUCCUCCUCUCUCUGGAACAAAGGUGCUGCCAUAUUCCUGGCGAUAGCCGUGGUGGAAUCAGAUGGAGAAUAAACCAUUUUCCUGGAAACAAUUCUACUUUGACUAAAUGAGAAACAAAACAUAAUUUUUCAUAUUAUUUCAACAGAAUAUUGCGUGCAAAAACUUCUAGUCAUUUUUAAUAGGCUUAGUGGAGUUAGCAAUUCUCUAAGUAAAACUUACAAAAGGACAUCUCUUUGAGGCAGAGAUUGGAGGCUCUGAAGAAAGGGCACUGGUGGGUAAGGGUUGAAAUUGGAAUCAUUACUGGCCCGUUUCUUUCUCCACUGUACCAGGUGAUCUGGAGCAAGUUCAAGGGCAUUGACAUAGGGUGGAAAACAAAGAGGGUCAAACUUUUAGGGGCAGCAAACGGAGGGGCAAGGAACACACAAAGGAGAAAAACCCAAAGCCAUAGCUGUGCAAUAGAAGCCAAUUUACUUGAGGUGCUACUACAAAUGUUCAUUUUUAAGGUGAGUGGAGAGACUAGAAACUACCUUGGCAUUACAUAGCAAGGGCAUUUGGGGGGAUUUCUGUAUAAAUUUUACUAAAAUGUAAAUGGUGCAAAGAAUUUCCAUCUUAAGCCACUUGUAUUAACAAGUAUUUCAAGUUUUGGGUUUACUAAAUUUAAAAAACAUUAGAGAUACAAAUUAAUUAAUAAAAGGAUGAUUUUCUUAUUUUGGGAAAUUGAAGAAUGCCAUUUUCUGCACCUAGCAUCAGACCGAGGAUAUGAGGUGAGUCUGCCUAUGUGAAUCGCCUUGCCUGUUUUCAUUAAUGACCGUGUCCUUUGUUAAUAUUCUUACGAUGAAAUGUAUUCAGAAAUAUCAUUUCAUUUUCUGAAAGUAAAAACUUAGUCAAAAAACAGAGCCAAAUGAGACACAGUGAUGGUGAACCAUUAAUCUCUUCCAAACGGGCUCUUUAAACUCUAAUAAUAAAAAGUAUCACCUGGCUUCGCAUUUCCCCUUUGCAUAUGCAUACAUUUUGAAUGCUUUUCAGUUAUCUUGUCUAUUGUUGUUUACGUGCAUUUUAAAAUCUAUGGUGAAUAUGUGUUCUCUCUGAGACUUGUUUAUGGAAUCCUCAAGAAAAGAGUGGAAGAAGCUGUUUAUUGAAAUCUCUUGUCUCACACUUGGCACCAGGACAUGCCAGGUUUAAAACAAUGUUUGCCUGAAGGUAUCCUUUUCUGAUCCAGCAUAGUUACUUACAUGUUGCCUGCUAGGUAUACUUCUCAACUGUUUUAACAUUAAUGUGUUGAUAAUAUUAAUAAUAAUAGAAGAAUUUGCAAUAACAACUGUCAUUUAUUACAGCAAUACAAUUUUUGAAAUAAAUUUUAAAUAGAUCAUUCUAAACACCACAGCCUAUGCAUGUGGAAACUGACCCUAAUAUAGCUUAGCCCUAUUAAGGAUUUUGCAAGGUAGCAUAACCAGUUAGUGGAAUAACUAGUAUAUGUGUCCAAUACUCCAGACUCAUGACCCCAAGCCCUCUGCCGCACGUCUUCUAAUCUUUCUAAAAGUAGCAGCAUUUAAAUUAUUUUUGUCAUUCAGGAAUGCUUAUUAAAUAAAUUUCAAUCACAUAUUUAAUAAAUGUAAAAAAUACCCAAAGCUUGAUUGUCGAAAGUGUUC